GAUGAACGCUGGCGGCGUGCCUAAUACAUGCAAGUCGAGCGAACGGACGAGAAGCUUGCUUCUCUGAUGUUAGCGGCGGACGGGUGAGUAACACGUGGAUAACCUACCUAUAAGACUGGGAUAACUUCGGGAAACCGGAGCUAAUACCGGAUAAUAUUUUGAACCGCAUGGUUCAAAAGUGAAAGACGGUCUUGCUGUCACUUAUAGAUGGAUCCGCGCUGCACUAGCUAGUUGGUAAGGUAACGGCUUACCAAGGCAACGAUGCAUAGCCGACCUGAGAGGGUGAUCGGCCACACUGGAACUGAGACACGGUCCAGACUCCUACGGGAGGCAGCAGUAGGGAAUCUUCCGCAAUGGGCGAAAGCCUGACGGAGCAACGCCGCGUGAGUGAUGAAGGUCUUCGGAUCGUAAAACUCUGUUAUUAGGGAAGAACAUAUGUGUAAGUAACUGUGCACAUCUUGACGGUACCUAAUCAGAAAGCCACGGCUAACUACGUGCCAGCAGCCGCGGUAAUACGUAGGUGGCAAGCGUUAUCCGGAAUUAUUGGGCGUAAAGCGCGCGUAGGCGGUUUUUUAAGUCUGAUGUGAAAGCCCACGGCUCAACCGUGGAGGGUCAUUGGAAACUGGAAAACUUGAGUGCAGAAGAGGAAAGUGGAAUUCCAUGUGUAGCGGUGAAAUGCGCAGAGAUAUGGAGGAACACCAGUGGCGAAGGCGACUUUCUGGUCUGUAACUGACGCUGAUGUGCGAAAGCGUGGGGAUCAAACAGGAUUAGAUACCCUGGUAGUCCACGCCGUAAACGAUGAGUGCUAAGUGUUAGGGGGUUUCCGCCCCUUAGUGCUGCAGCUAACGCAUUAAGCACUCCGCCUGGGGAGUACGACCGCAAGGUUGAAACUCAAAGGAAUUGACGGGGACCCGCACAAGCGGUGGGGCAUGUGGUUUAAUUCGAAGCAACGCGAAGAACCUUACCAAAUCUUGACAUCCUUUGACAACUCUAGAGAUAGAGCCUUCCCCUUCGGGGGACAAAGUGACAGGUGGUGCAUGGUUGUCGUCAGCUCGUGUCGUGAGAUGUUGGGUUAAGUCCCGCAACGAGCGCAACCCUUAAGCUUAGUUGCCAUCAUUAAGUUGGGCACUCUAAGUUGACUGCCGGUGACAAACCGGAGGAAGGUGGGGAUGACGUCAAAUCAUCAUGCCCCUUAUGAUUUGGGCUACACACGUGCUACAAUGGACAAUACAAAGGGCAGCGAAACCGCGAGGUCAAGCAAAUCCCAUAAAGUUGUUCUCAGUUCGGAUUGUAGUCUGCAACUCGACUACAUGAAGCUGGAAUCGCUAGUAAUCGUAGAUCAGCAUGCUACGGUGAAUACGUUCCCGGGUCU
rnacentral:rRNA from 1 species